ACCUGGCUGGCUCAGCCAGUAGAGCAUGCAACUCUUGAUCUCACAGUUAUGAGUUCAAAUCCCACGUUGGGUG
rnacentral:tRNA from 1 species